rnacentral:rRNA from 1 species
CAUGCAGUCGAACGAGGCGGAGGGGGCAACUCCUUCCAGUCGAGUGGCGGACGGGUGAGUAACACGUGGGUAACCUGCCCGGAAGUGGGGAAUACCUCGGGGAAACUCGAGCUAAUACCGCAUGACAUCUUCGGGACGAAAGUCCUGGCGAUCAAAGCGGGGUCGCAAGAUCUCGCGCUACCGGAUGGGCCCGCGCCCGAUUAGCUAGUUGGCGAGGUAACGGCUCACCAAGGCAACGAUCGGUAACCGGCCUGAGAGGGCGAUCGGUCACACCGGAACUGAGACACGGUCCGGACUCCUACGGGAGGCAGCAGUGGGGAAUCUUGCGCAAUGGGCGAAAGCCUGACGCAGCAACGCCGCGUGGAGGAUGAAGGCCCUUGGGUUGUAAACUCCUGUCGGCUGGGAAGAAAUCAUACGGUGCUCAUACCACCGUGUGUUGACUGUACCAGCAAAGGAAGCCCCGGCUAACUCUGUGCCAGCAGCCGCGGUAAUACAGAGGGGGCCAGCGUUAUUCGGAAUUAUUGGGCGUAAAGGGCGCGUAGGCGGCCAUGCGUGUCUUCCGUGAAAUCCCUCGGCUUAACUGAGGACGUGCGGAAGAAACUGCAAGGCUCGAGUCCGGGAGAGGAGGGUGGAAUUCCCAGUGUAGCGGUGAAAUGUGUAGAUAUUGGGAGGAACACCGGUGGCGAAGGCGGCCCUCUGGACCGGUACUGACGCUGAUGCGCGAAAGCGUGGGUAGCAAACGGGAUUAGAUACCCCGGUAGUCCACGCCGUAAACGAUGGGCACUUGGUGUCGCGGGUAUCGACCCCUGCGGUGCCGAAGCUAACGCAUUAAG